rnacentral:rRNA from 1 species
GUGCACGCUGGCGGCGUGCCUAAUACAUGCAAGUCGAACGAUGAAGUCCUAGCUUGCUAGGAUGGAUUAGUGGCGCACGGGUGAGUAAUAUAUAGUUAAUCUGCCCUACACAGAGGAACAACAGUUGGAAACGACUGCUAAUACCUCAUACUCCUAUUUGACAUAAGUUAAAUAGGGAAAGUCUUUUCGGUGUAGGAUGAGACUAUAUCGUAUCAGCUAGUUGGUAAGGUAAUGGCUUACCAAGGCUAUGACGCGUAACUGGUCUGAGAGGAUGAUCAGUCACAUUGGAACUGAGACACGGUCCAAACUCCUACGGGAGGCAGCAGUAAGGAAUAUUGCGCAAUGGGGGAAACCCUGACGCAGCAACGCCGCGUGGAGGAUGACACUUUUCGGAGCGUAAACUCCUUUUAUCAGGAAAGAAUAAUGACGGUACCUGAUGAAUAAGCACCGGCUAACUCCGUG